UACGAAGGGGGCUAGCGUUGUUCGGAAUUACUGGGCGUAAAGCGCACGUAGGCGGAGUUGCCAGUCAGAGGUGAAAUCCCAGGGCUCAACCCUGGAACUGCCUUUGAUACAGCAACUCUUGAGUCCGAUAGAGGUGAGUGGAAUUCCUAGUGUAGAGGUGAAAUUCGUAGAUAUUAGGAAGAACACCAGUGGCGAAGGCGGCUCACUGGAUCGGUACUGACGCUGAGGUGCGAAAGCGUGGGGAGCAAACAGG
rnacentral:rRNA from 1 species